rnacentral:rRNA from 1 species
ACAGGUGCUGCAUGGCUGUCGUCAGCUCCGUGUCGUGAGAUGUUGGGUUAAGUCCCGUAACGAGCGCAACCCUUGUCCUUAGUUACCAGCACGUUAUGGUGGGCACUCUAAGGAGACUGCCGGUGACAACCGGAGGAAGGUGGGGAUGACGUCAAGUCAUCAUGGCCCUUACGGCCUGGGCUACACACGUGCUACAAUGGUCGGUACAAAGGGUUGCCAAGCCGCGAGGUGGAGCUAAUCCCAUAAAACCGAUCGUAGUCCGGAUCGCAGUCUGCAACUCGACUGCGUGAAGUCGGAAUCGCUAGUAAUCGUGAAUCAGAAUGUCACGGUGAAUACGUUCCCGGGCCUU